ensembl:lncRNA
AUGAUUAAUAAUAAUGAACGUUUCUCGAAAGGAAACUUGCAUCCUGAGACUGGAUUAAACUUCACGGUGGCGCCUGUCGAUGUCUCUUCUGCUUCACCUUCAGCGGCUGAAGGCGGACAGGCACUGUCAGCCGUUUGGGGCCUCGUCCAUACACUCCUGGACAAACAGACUCAUCGUCGGAAUCCAAACACAGUGGGAAGAGCGGUAGAUAUCUGGCAGUGUUUCCAUGGUCCCCAAGGGGCAGGAACAGACGGUGGCAGCAGGGGGCAGCGCGCGCAGAUCUCCGGUCCUAUAAACUCCCAGCUGGAACGACAUGAUGAUGACCCUUCUCUCUGGCUGCUCAAAGUUUGGAAGCUGAUGCAUCCUGCCAGGGCGCAAGGUGAGCUGCGGAUGCUGCAUUCAGGGACUGUCGGAAAACUCGACAAGAGCACAUAACGUAUGCAUAAUGACCUUAAAUGGCCCGAUUUCUUGUAUUACAAACAUUACUCUGCACUGGUGUGCUCACUGUAGCUGGAGAUUAACUGGAAAUUUUACAGAGGCUGUUGCCCAGAGGCCCCCUGACCUCUGGCGCCUCUGACAUCUAUGUAAUCUAUCUGUGGCCAUAAGCUCUAACUAUUAAUUGGUCUCAUGUUGUAUUGCUGCUCAUGUUGUAUUGCUGUAUGCCGGGGGGCGGCGGACACUAGGAUCCUGUUAUGACCCGGCUCUUUGCCAAAACAAACACGGAGAGACACAUGAGGAUCAAGGGGAAAAAUAACAAUAAUCUUUUGGUUAAGUAAUAAAAUGUUUCCUACUGCAGACAGAAACUUUCCAAUCUUCUUUUCCUUUCAGUGGCCCUUGAUUAAAAGGCUUUAACACAGUCUGUAGGAAAACAUUGUAUAGUAAAGUACUCAAUCAUAACAGUGUCUUUAUUCACAAAAAGUGGUGUGCAUCAAUGAAAAUGAAAGAAUGUUUGUCCAUGUAUUUAACAGAACCAUUCAUUUUUCCGUGUAACCAUGUGGCCAUGAGUAUCUGACAUGCAGCCUCUGUCCUGUGAGUGUUUGUUCAGCGUGGAACAGGGUGGAGCCCGGUGCAGCCUGGUGGCUCCCUCAGAAUACCUCGGGCUAAAUGUGGCCUCGGUUAAUCCCUAAUACGUGCUGCUGCCGCUGAGGUCCCUCCCUGGCUCAUCAGGGAAAGUCCUGCACCGAGACAUGAAGGAGAUUCCCCUCCUGACAGCAGCAGGACAAUGCUGUAUGGAUAUUAACCACAGCCGCCCUCAACCCGGGACACCUCCACUAUGUGAGUACAGUUGACAGUAUACCUUAAAUUUCACCUUGUAGUCUGUUUGUGUGAUAUGUAUGUCAUUGAUAAACAGCAGCAAAAGCCUGCUGUUUAUCAAUUCUAAUAUACACAUUUUAAAGCCUUAAAUAUUGUAAAGAAACAAACCUAUACACACACCGGGUCAUACUGUGUAAGUGUUGUGAGUUGACUUGCCUGUUAAAGCCUACUUGUUACAUAAGAAGCUUUUCAAGUGUCUGUACUGUAUUUUAGGAAACAGCGAGUCGUGCUCAUACACACUUGAAUGUCAAAAUCACACACUUGUAUUCCUUUUAUUGAGAUUACAAACUGUUGAUAAGAAUAAAAAAUAAAAAGUGGGGAAAGGUUUUAAAGCUUUUGUACUGGCCAAUAACAGUGAGAAAGGUUUUAAUUCCAC